CUGGUCACCAUAUUAGCACGCGCUCCAGCAGGUAUAUUUCACUGGUCACCAUAUCAGCACGCGCUCCAGCAGGUAUAUUUCACUGGUCACCAUAUCAGCACGAGUUCCAGCAGGUAUAUUUCACUGGUCACCAUAUCAGCACGCGCUCCAGCAGGUAUAUUUCACUGGUCACCAUAUUAGCACGCGCUCCAGCAGGUAUAUUUCACUGGUCACCAUAUUAGCACGCGCUCCAGCAGGUAUAUUUCACUGGUCACCAUAUUAGCACGCGCUCCAGCAGGUAUAUUUCACUGGUCACCAUAUCA